GACGAACGCUGGCGGCGUGCUUAACACAUGCAAGUCGAGCGGAAAGGGCCUGCUUUUGUGGGGUUCUCGAGUGGCGAACGGGUGAGUAACACGGGAGUAACCUUCGCUGGACUGGAGGAUAACUGCAGGAAACUGGGGCUAAUGCCGGAUAGGAGCGCCUGCUGCAUGGUGGGGGUUGGAAAGCUUGGGCGGAUGGGGCUGGAGUCGCGGCUUAUCAGCUUGUUGGGGGGGUAGUGGCUUACCAAGGCUUUGACGGGUAGUCGGCCUGGGAGGGUGACCGGCCACAUUGGGACUGAGAUACGGACCAGACUCCUACGGGAGGCAGCAGUGGGGAACAUUGCACAAUGGGCGGAAGCCUGAUGCAGCAACGCCGCGUGCGGGAUGAAGGCCUUCGGGUUGUAAACCGCUUUCACCUGUGACGAAGCGUGAUUGACGGUAAUGGCUAAAGAAGCACCGGCUAACUACGUG
rnacentral:rRNA from 1 species